rnacentral:rRNA from 1 species
UACGGGGGGAGCAAGCGUUGUUCGGAUUUACUGGGCGUAAAGGGCGCGUAGGCGGCCAGCACAAGUCAGUUGUGAAAUCUCCGAGCUUAACUCGGAAAGGUCAACUGAUACUGUGCGGCUAGAGUGCGGAAGGGGCAACUGGAAUUCUUGGUGUAGCGGUGAAAUGCGUAGAUAUCAAGAGGAACACCUGCGGCGAAGGCGGGUUGCUGGGCCGACACUGACGCUGAGUCGCGAACGACCGGAGGCAAACGGG